CGUGUUUCAAACAGAGCUUCUACGUUUGCCGGUCGUUAUGCGUUGGUUUGUAUUUACUGCAGAUCCCCACUCCACUGGAGAAGAACUUUUGGAACACAAAGGAAAGAAAAACAUCUAGAGGGGAAAUCAUCUGUAGCCUCUUGGAAAAGAUCAUUAGAAUGCAUAUGACAGAAAGAGAAGAAUGAAGUACGGCUUAGGAAUUUUGAAGACACUGAAGCCACAUUCUCAGGCCUUAGGAAGAUCUGUAAGGAAACAAGGGAUGGGAGUGCAUAAAACGGGGAAGGAACAGGAACCCAUGAUGCAAAAUGUCCUUGUCCCUCAUUAUAAGGAAAGCCGUGUGGAAAAGCCCCAAUUCUGUUCCCAAAUUUCUGCUUCUAAAAUACUCCAGGAUGCAAGAUUUAAAUGUCAAGUUAAUUUCAUGCUCUACCUGCCUCAAGGCGAUUAGCACAAAUUAAGUGUCAUGCUACUCAACCUGAACUAUAUGACUGCAAUGCGUAUAUCACCCACAUCCACAAAAAUAUUUCUGUCAUGAAAAUAGGUAAUUUUACAGCUGCAAAAACAAAUAUACAUAAACACCUUUUAAAUAAA